AGCCGCGAAACGUCAACUACUGUCAAGUAACACCAAGCCAUAUCACGUAAUUUGGCGUAAUCUUCCGCACAAAAAACUUCCAAAAUUACGUCAUGUCAAAACUCUCCCUCCCUUUACUAUCUGCCUUAGGUCACUCGGGUGCCACGCUGAAAAUGACGUAAUAAGCAUGAACUUGAAAUAAUGGAACUGGAAAGAUUUUAAAAUUGUCAAUCGACAUUCGCAAAUCUGCAGUAGUCUUGCAAACGUGGGAGUGUGCGCGCGCAUUUAAAAAUGGCUUCGUUGGCUGUUUUUGAUUUUGAUCGUACAGUAGUUGAUGGUGACUCAGAUGCAACAAUAAUAAAUAGAUUGAGAGAAAAGCAACCCCCGCCAGAGUGGGAAGCCAGUAACUACGACUGGACACCUUAUAUGAGCGAUGUCUUCGAACAUGCGUACUCCGCUGGUCUCAGCCAGGCGGACAUCCUGGACAGCAUCGCGUCCAUGCGCCCGACUCCUGGGCUGGAAGAGCUCAUCAAGACCCUGGCUGCCGCGGGCUGGGAUGUCUUGAUCCUUACUGACGCCAAUACUGUUUUCGUCAAUCACUGGCUCAAGGUUCAUGGACUGCUGGAGCAUGUCACGUCCGUGGUGACCAACCGCGCCUUUUGGCAGAACGGGCGGCUGUUCAUAGAGCCUCACAUGCACCAGACCGCUUGCCCACGCUGCCCCAGCAACUUGUGCAAGUCGCUGGCGUUGGCGCAGUGGUGCGCGCAACGGCCGCCAUACAGUAAUGUGUUCUAUGCCGGUGACGGAAGGAAUGACUUCUGCCCGGCGACUAGCUUACCGCCCCACGCGACAGUAUUCCCGCGUCGCGGAUACCCGCUCGACGACUUAAUAAAAAAGACGCUAGCAUCCCCCAACCCUCAGAUCAAAGCCAAAGUGGUGCCGUGGGACGACUGCUACAGAAUAUUGCAGGAAACCUUUCCCGGUAAAACCAACAGUAUAGUUUAAUUUAUUUUUGUACUAUAGUCAGACCUGCUGGUCACGUGAUCAGAGACAAAAACAUAACCAAAUUUGUUCUUUGUCAAGAUAAUUAAUUGAAUACUUUUAUUUGGACACGAAAAUCGUAGUACUUACCGAUGGCCACUCAUGGUCACGCCAUGUCUUAUUAGAUGCUAUCUAGCCGUAAAGCUAUGUUCCGUAUAUUCAUGAUGACUAACGUUUGACUAUUGAAAGUAUUAAUAGAAUGUAAGGGAUAGGGAAAUUUUAUAUUAUUUUAAUUUAUUAAUUUGUAUCGAUACCAUAUUUUGAUGUGCAAUUAAUAAGAUCUUAAGUAGUGAAUACUUGUUGUAUUAAGUCUCGAAGAUGCAAGCUCAGGACACUUGCAUCGGAGGCAACGCUAGAUAAAAAGGUAGAAAUAGGUGUUGUGGAUCUUAUUAUGUAGCCCGCUCAUUCAUAGAAGUUAUUAAUCUAAGGACGCAGCAUUGCUGUAAUAACAAGUCUGUUUCUCAGUGCUGACGACAUACCAGCCGUCGCAGUGCGUAGUCAUAGGGCCGUUGUGAUUGGCUAAUUGAGAUACAACUCGAAUCUAGUUGGCUGUCAGAUAAACAAAGCUGAAUAAACAGCAAGCUGUCAGAUAAACAAAGCUGAGAAACAGACUUGUUAUUACAGCAAUGCUCCGUCCUUAGAUAAAUAACGUCUAUGAAUAAGGGUGUAUGUGUUUAAGUAAAUUGUCGUAUUAAAAGUUGUUGUUUGCAAAACAGGCUGUGAUGAUUUCGAUAGGAAUCUCAGAUAUACCUUUCCUUAUACACAUAUUAAUGCAAAUGUCGCAUAGCGAUCGGAUUACAGUGGGGCAAUAAUCGCUGUAGCCCGAAAUCCAUAUUAUGGAGCCAGAUUUUAUAAAUUGCACUAUUCUUGAAUUAUUCAAUUUCAAAUCGAGCCAAAAAUGAUUGUUUCUAACAAUAAUUGCAUAUUUUUAAAUCAUACGUAGACCUAUGUGUCUAGUGAACGCAAAAAAAAUUUUCGAUGUGAAAAAAAAAUCUGUUUAAUUGUCUAAAUGUACACGAAUAAAGAAAAUGUAUCUCUUUA
rnacentral:misc_RNA from 1 species